AACGUAGGUGGCGAGCGUUAUCCGGAUUUACUGGGCGUAAAGGGUGUGCAGGCGGGUCAUUAAGUGGUGUAUGAAAUCGCCCGGCUCAACCGGGCGAGGUUAUGCCAGACUGGUGGUCUAGAGAGCGAGAGAGGGACGUGGAAUUCCGGGUGUAGCGGUGAAAUGCGCAGAUAUCAGGAAGAACACCAAUGGCGAAGGCAGUUCUCUGGGACGGUACUGACGCUGAGACGCGAAAGCGUGGGGAGCGAACAGG
rnacentral:rRNA from 1 species